rnacentral:lncRNA from 1 species
AGGGCUGCCCCCAUGGCAUAUGGAGGCUCCCACGAUAGGGGUCUAAUCAGAGUUGUAGCUGCUAGCCUACACCACAGCCACAGCAAUGAAGGAUCCAAGCCAUGUCUGCAACCUACACCACAGCUCACAGCAAUGCUGGAUCCUUAACCUGCUGAGCAAGGCCAGGGAUUGAACCCACAUCCUCAUGGAUACCUCAUUAACCACUGAGCCAUGACAGGAACUCCUGUUUUGCUUUUUAUGGUCCUAUCUAUGCCAUAUGGAAGUUCCCAGGCUAGGGGUCCAACCAGAGCUACAUCUGCUGGCCUAUGCCACAGCCACAGCAACACAGGAUCCAAGCCAUGUCUGCGACCUAUACCAUAGCUCAUGGCAAUGCCGGAUCCCUGACCCACUGAACAAGGCCAGGGAUCAAACCUGUGUCCUCAUGGAUGCUAGUCAUGUUCGUUAACCACUGAGCCACAACAGGAACUCCUGAUUCUCCCUUCUUGAAAUUGUACUCUCAGAGGAGGCUGAGGUUACCUGUCUUCAUGUCCGUUGCCUUCCACUGAGCAGACGUCAGACAGCUCAGAUGCAGAGCAUCUUUAGAUCUAAAUGUUCAGUACUUAAUAGAUUCCCACUAUAGCUCCAGUUGUAUCCCUAGCCCUGGGAACUUCCAUAUGCUGCAUGUAUGGCCCUAAAAAAGCAAAAAAAAAAAAAAAAAAAAAAAAAAAAAAAAAAAGUUGUAUGAAUGUGGUCUUAAAAUAUCUUAUUUGACAAAUAUACCUUUUCCAUUUAAUUAAACACUUAAUACCAUGCACCGUGACCAUAAAUUUUGCAGUUUGAAAUGUGACCAGCACAAAUUUUUUGCCCUCUUAACAAUUUCAUGGAUAGAAGAUUCAUUCUUAUCACAGAUCUUCGAAACCUCACCAUUUUUUUUUACUUAUUAGUCAAGAACUUUUAUUUUUUCACUUCAAGGAAGCUUCUCUUGAGCAUGUUUGAAUUGCCAGCAUCACUUCCCUUGCGCUCUAGGACCAUUAUUAAGUAAAGUAAGGGUUACUUCGACAUGAAUGUACCAUCUGAUGACUGGGAGGGCCACGCAGUGGCUAACAGGCAGGAUACACUGGACAAAGGGAUAAUUCACAUCCCCAGCAGGACAGACGGAGCAGGAUGGUGCAAUAUUUCAUUGCACUGCUCAGAACAGUGUGCAGUUUAAAACUUAUGAAUUGUUUAUUCAUAACAAUAAUAUUAAACGGAAAAUUGUUGGGACCAUGCGUGGUUGGGUGGGGAUAAAUGAAACUGUGGAAAGUGAAACUAUAGACCGGGGGCAGCUACCAUACCAGUGACCAAGAUUUUCAACCUUUUGGAAAAUCACAGUCUAUCAGCAUUUAGCCUCCACUAGGCUUUUGAUCUACUGACCAAAAGACAUUUUAUGUGUUCCCGGAAACAAAAGAACAGAAAGUAAAAUUAAAUAAUUACAUAAAAGGAAAUCUAAUCAAUGUCUUUUGGACUGAAAGAUACCAUCUGUUACAUUCAGGACAGGGCAAAGAUGUGCUGUGUAGUAGCCAGCAGGGCUUUACUAACAUGUUUUAUGUAGGUCUGGUUUUUGUGGUUUUGUAAUUUUUUUAGUUUUGCAAUAUUAUGGGCAAAAGAAUUAUGAUAAUUAAGCGAAUUAAGCGAAGACAACUUACAGAGUAGGUCACAUUUGGUGAAAACCAAAGAAAGCCCCCAAGAUAUUCCAUAGGCUAUGUUAUGUAGUUCGAUAUCAUUUUAUGAAAAAGUCAAGAUUCAGAAAAGUUUUGAUUUCCCAAGGCCACACGGUUAGGAAUGAAAUCCAGGUCUCCUGAUUCCUGGGCUAGUCUUUCUAGGAACCUUGAGUCUUUGGCGGUCCUGCCCUGAGAGAAUGAUAUGAAAGGAAAGAAGGAAAGAGGUAGGGGAUGUGGUUCUCUCUCCUCCUACUCUCCUCCCAACACCAAGAAAAAAAGAGGCCCUGCAAGGGAAACAGAUUGGCCUGGGCUGGCCCUGUUCCCUCCUAAUCGUGGUCCCAGGCAGAGCACACUGCCCAUAGAGGCCCCGUGGGCUGUGAUUGCCUUGUUCACUACUAAGCCUAUGUAUGCUUGUUGUGUUGCUGAUUUCAUAAUUAAAUUGUAUAUUAUCGAUUGUACUAGAGAGAAUGAAGACACCGUAUCUGAGGAAAUGAUUCUGCUGGCAUUGCUUUGAAAAUAGUGUUUUCACUUGACUGCAAAAAAAGCAAACUUAGUAUCUGUAUAUUAAGGAUGUAGGUUAUGGAGAAGAAAAAAAUCCAGGUAACUCCUAGCAAUAAGGUCACAUUCUAAGAAAGUUCUUAACUCUAUAUCAAAAAUCUGGUGCCUGACGUUCCCGUGAGCUGUGGUGUAGGUUGCAGAUGUGGCUCAGAUCUGGCAUUGCUGUGGCUCUGGCAUAGGCUGGCAGCUGUAGCUCAGACUGGACCCUAGCCGGGAACUUCCAUGUGCCGCAAGGGGGGGCCCUAAAAAGCACACAAGAAGAAAAAAAAAA